rnacentral:lncRNA from 1 species
AAAAAUCCAACAAGUAUCACAUUUUUUAAAACGUUCAUGGGGCACUUUUACAAUGGCCAUAAUCGGGCCAAAAUAAGUGGGGAAAAAUCAAUUGUAAAAAUAAUUUCACAAAUAAGAAGUAGGCAUAAAAAAAAAUCAUAAAGAAACUCAUUAGGAUGACUAAAACAAAUGGGAAAGAAAAUAAAAAUUAAGGGUGAAAAAGAAAUGAAAAAAAUGGAAAAAAU